CCUACGGGAGGCAGCAGUGGGGAAUAUUGCACAAUGGGGGAAACCCUGAUGCAGCGACGCCGCGUGAGUGAAGAAGUACUUCGGUAUGUAAAGCUCUAUCAGCAGGGAAGAAGAAAGACUGUACCUGACUAAGAAGCCCCGGCUAACUACGUGCCAGCAGCCGCGGUAAUACGUAGGGGGCAAGCGUUAUCCGGAUUUACUGGGUGUAAAGGGAGCGUAGACGGGUUGGCAAGUCUGAAGUGAAAGCCCAGGGCUAAACCCUGGAACUGCUUUGGAAACUGGCGGGCUAGAGUGCUGUAGAGGUAAGUGGAAUUCGUAGUGUAGCGGUGAAAUGCGUAGAUAUCAGGAGGAACACCAGUGGCGAAGGCGGCUUACUGGACUGUGACUGACGUUGAGGCUCGAAAGCGUGGGGAGCAAACAGGAUUAGAUACCCGUGUAGUC
rnacentral:rRNA from 1 species